rnacentral:rRNA from 1 species
GACGAACGCUGGCGGCGUGCUUAACACAUGCAAGUCGAACGGAAAGGCCCUGCUUUUGUGGGGUGCUCGAGUGACGAACGGGUGAGUAACACGUGAGUAACCUGCCCUUGACUUUGGGAUAACUUCAGGAAACUGGAGCUAAUACCGGAUAGGAGCUCCUGCUGCAUGGUGGGGGUUGGAAAGUUUCGGCGGUUGGGGAUGGACUCGCGGCUUAUCAGCUUGUUGGUGGGGUAGUGGCUUACCAAGGCUUUGACGGGUAGCCGGCCUGAGAGGGUGACCGGCCACAUUGGGACUGAGAUACGGCCCAGACUCCUACGGGAGGCAGCAGUGGGGAAUAUUGCACAAUGGGCGGAAGCCUGAUGCAGCAACGCCGCGUGCGGGAUGACGGCCUUCGGGUUGUAAACCGCUUUCGCCUGUGACGAAGCGUGAGUGACGGUAAUGGGUAAAGAAGCACCGGCUAACUACGUG